ACCUGCGGCGCCAGUGUCGCAACCACGCUGUAGACAUAGGCGACACCGGUGCCCAUCGCGAUCAGCGUGAACAUGUUGAGAUUGCGCGUUUUGACCGACUGCCAGCCACGCUCGAAGNGGCCAGCCUGCCCACAGCACCACCGGCGUCGCCAGUGCGAACGAGAGCCAGUUCGAUGUUUGCAGCGGCAACAGAUGCACGCCGCCGAGAUGCGCCGCCAUGUCGAUGACGAACACCGGCAGGGGCC
rnacentral:misc_RNA from 1 species